rnacentral:rRNA from 1 species
UACGGAGGGUGCAAGCGUUAAUCGGAAUUACUGGGCGUAAAGCGCGCGUAGGCGGCUGGGUAAGUCGAUUGUGAAAUCCCCGGGCUCAACCUGGGAAUUGCAGUCGAGACUGCCCGGCUAGAGUGUGGGAGAGGGUGGUGGAAUUCCCGGUGUAGCGGUGAAAUGCGUAGAGAUCGGAAAGAACACCAGUGGCGAAGGCGGCGACCUGGGUCUAAACUGACACUGAGGUGCGAAAGCGUGGGGAGCAAACAGG